AACAUCGCGCACCUGCGGGAACCUGCGGAAGGAUCAUUAAUGAUUGGUGGCUGUUGCUGACUAGUGUUUCUAGUAUGUGCACGCCACACCUUCGAUCCCACUUACACCUGUGCACCUUCUGUAAUAGAUCUAUGUGGAUACGGAGAUAUGAAAGUUUGCGCUCUCGUACUCUGUUGAAGCAGUCUACUACGUUUUUUUACACACACACAAUAGUCAUUGAAUGUAUUUUUUAUUCUUAUG
rnacentral:misc_RNA from 1 species